AGCUGCUAUAUAUUAAGUUUUUAUCUAGCAUGAAGACUUAGCUUCAUCUUAACCAGACUUGAGAGAGCUCCUUUUGCCAGUUUUUGUUAUUUAUUCAGGAGGAACCUUGCACAUUGUUACUGGGCAAGCUUCUGGCUUAUCCACCAAGGAGCAUUAAUUGAGGAGUUUUUGCUGCCUCCUGACUCAUGGUUUGACCCAAUUGUGCAUGAUGUAUAUGUAGAAGAGCUCCUCUUUUCCUCACUGGGUGCAUCUGGAAAACUCACUGACCGCAGAACACUUGCGUUAUUGCUGACACCAUCAGCUUCGCCGUCUCGAUGGGAUGAUGUAGAGCUCAACGUAAAGGUCUUCAGCCC
rnacentral:lncRNA from 12 species